rnacentral:rRNA from 1 species
AUUGAACGCUGGCGGCAGGCCUAACACAUGCAAGUCGAGCGAGCGGCGGACGGGAGAGUAAUGUAUGGGGAUCUGCCCGUUAGAGGGGGAUAACUACUGGAAACGGAGGCUAAUACCGCAUACUAUCGGAUGUACCCAUCUGGGUUUAGCUAGUAGGUGGGGUAAAGGCUCCACUAGGCGACGAUCUCUAGGUGGUCGGAGAGGAUGAGCAGCCACACUGGGACUGAGACACGGCCCAGACGCCGACGGGAGGCAGCAGUGGGGAAUAGUGCACAAUGGGCGCAAGCCUGAUGCAGCCAUGCCGCGUGUAUGAAGAAGGCCUUAGGGUUGUAAAGUACUUUCAGCGGGGAGGCGUUACCCGCAGAAGAAGCACCGGCUAACUCCGUGCCAGCAGCCGCGGUAAUAC